rnacentral:lncRNA from 1 species
AUAAAGAGCUCCGGUUGAGCAUCAAGCUUGCUUUUGUCUGUCAAGCUCUCAAAUCUAAUUUUGUCCAGAGCCUAAAAGCCAGAAAUGAAAAAAAAAAAUAGAAGAAUUAACAUCAGAACAUAUAUCCAAACACUUCUAAGACCAAAAAACAGAGACUAAAAAGAACCAUGUUCAACUAGACCAAGUAAUAAUUGACAUGUGUAAAAACCCCAGGCAACGAAGAACCAUCCACAAAUAGACUCUAAUACUACAAAAAUCUGACAAACUAAAACAAGUAAUAAUCAUCCUAUAGUUUCUUUAGAAUCCUCAUUCAUUACUCAAAACCAACAGGCAACAAGAAUUUUCUUUUAAUGGAAAUUUAAACAAAAUCAAACCCCCAGACAUUCAACAACUAAAUCGAAAUCGAGUUAGUACAUAAACAAUUCCUAAACCGUAAACAUCGAAAUAGGGUGAGUACAUACACAAUUUCCAAACCAUAAACAAACAAGAAUACCUCAUGUCAAAGAAAAUAAAAACAAAAAAAUCAAAACAUAAAUAAUCUACGCAUAAACAUAAAGAAAAUGAACCCUAACAUCAAAGUCAUAUAUAUACAUAUGUAGGAAAACAAAUCAAAAAAUAUCUAUCGAACACCUAAACCAGAGAUAGAGACAUGCUCGCAUAUUUACAAAUAUAGGAAAACAAAAUAAUAAUAUCUACCGAAUACCUAAGCAAGAAAUGUAGAGAUGCUUCCUACACCGAAAUAAUAGGAAAUUAUAGAAAGAAAAACUCACAUCGGAGGCAUUGCUGAUAAGCUCUCGAAGAAAGAUCUCUUUGUUGCUGUAGAAGGUGUUGAUGAUCAAGCUCAGCAACUGGUUGAUCUCUGCUUGGAAAGCAAACGUCUCUGUCUCCGCCAUUGUUGGAUUACUGUAUUCUCUAGUAUAGAUCUAAAUAUAAAAGACUUUUCAAAAAACGAAGACGAAGACUCAAAAAGAGAGAGGCAAUGGGAGUGAGGAUGCCCGAUUGGUGAAAUGGAGGUUAUAUAGAGGGCUUUGCUAGGGUUUCUAGAUCCUUCCAUUUCCUUUUAUUUUUAUUCCGUUUUUAUUUUUAUUUUUUUUUUAAAAGAAUAAAAUUCGAAACUUGUAUCAUGUACUUUGAGCUGAGUUUUGAUUGGAACACCCAGAGUAGGAUGGUGGGGGUUGGGUUGGGCUGGGCAUUAGGAAAAGACACGUGGAUGUGAAAACGAGAAGAUAGGUCAAAGACGUU